AUCAGAAGUGCGAAUGCUGACAUAAGUAACGAUAAAGCGGGUGAAAAGCCCGCUCGCCGGAAGACCAAGGGUUCCUGUCCAACGUUAAUCGGGGCAGGGUGAGUCGACCCCUAAGGCGAGGCCGAAAGGCGUAGUCGAUGGGAAACGGGUUAAUAUUCCCGUACUUGGUGUUACUGCGAAGGGGGGACGGAGAAGGCUAUGUUGGCCGGGCGACGGUUGUCCCGGUUUAAGCGUGUAGGUGUGUGUUCCAGGUAAAUCCGGUUCACUUUAACACUGAGGCGUGAUGACGAGGCACUACGGUGCUGAAGCAACAAAUGCCCUGCUUCCAGGAAAAGCCUCUAAGCAUCAGGUAACAUCAAAUCGUACCCCAAACCGACACAGGUGGUCAGGUAGAGAAUACCAAGGCGCUUGAGAGAACUCGGGUGAAGGAACUAGGCAAAAUGGUGCCGUAACUUCGGGAGAAGGCACGCUGACACGUAGGUGAAGUGAUUUACUCAUGGAGCUGAAGUCAGUCGAAGAUACCAGCUGGCUGCAACUGUUUAUUAAAAACACAGCACUGUGCAAACACGAAAGUGGACGUAUACGGUGUGACGCCUGCCCGGUGCCGGAAGGUUAAUUGAUGGGGUCAGCGCAAGCGAAGCUCCUGAUCGAAGCCCCGGUAAACGGCGGCCGUAACUAUAACGGUCCUAAGGUAGCGAAAUUCCUUGUCGGGUAAGUUCCGACCUGCACGAAUGGCGUAAUGAUGGCCAGGCUGUCUCCACCCGAGACUCAGUGAAAUUGAACUCGCUGUGAAGAUGCAGUGUACCCGCGGCAAGACGGAAAGACCCCGUGAACCUUUACUAUAGCUUGACACUGAACAUUGAGCCUUGAUGUGUAGGAUAGGUGGGAGGCUUUGAAGUGUGGACGCCAGUCUGCAUGGAGCCGACCUUGAAAUACCACCCUUUAAUGUUUGAUGUUCUAACGUGGACCCGUGAUCCGGGUUGCGGACAGUGUCUGGUGGGUAGUUUGACUGGGGCGGUCUCCUCCUAAAGAGUAACGGAGGAGCACGAAGGUUGGCUAAUCCUGGUCGGACAUCAGGAGGUUAGUGCAAUGGCAUAAGCCAGCUUGACUGCGAGCGUGACGGCGCGAGCAGGUGCGAAAGCAGGUCAUAGUGAUCCGGUGGUUCUGAAUGGAAGGGCCAUCGCUCAACGGAUAAAAGGUACUCCGGGGAUAACAGGCUGAUACCGCCCAAGAGUUCAUAUCGACGGCGGUGUUUGGCACCUCGAUGUCGGCUCAUCACAUCCUGGGGCUGAAGUAGGUCCCAAGGGUAUGGCUGUUCGCCAUUUAAAGUGGUACGCGAGCUGGGUUUAGAACGUCGUGAGACAGUUCGGUCCCUAUCUGCCGUGGGCGCUGGAGAACUGAGGGGGGCUGCUCCUAGUACGAGAGGACCGGAGUGGACGCAUCACUGGUGUUCGGGUUGUCAUGCCAAUGGCACUGCCCGGUAGCUAAAUGCGGAAGAGAUAAGUGCUGAAAGCAUCUAAGCACGAAACUUGCCCCGAG
rnacentral:rRNA from 1 species